rnacentral:rRNA from 1 species
UACGGGGGGGGGCAAGCGUUGUUCGGAAUUACUGGGCGUAAAGGGUUUGUAGGUGGCCCGCUAAGUCACACGUGAAAUCCCUCAGCUUAACUGGGGAACUGCGUGUGAGACUGGCAGGCUCGAGGGCAGGAGAGGAACGCGGAAUUCCAGGUGUAGCGGUGAAAUGCGUAGAUAUCAGGAAGAACACCCGUGGCUAAGGCGGCUCUCUAGUACGGUACUGACGCUGAGACGCGAAAGCGUGGGGAGCGAACAGG